rnacentral:rRNA from 1 species
GUAUAAGAGACAGCAGCAGCCGCGGUAAUACAGAGGGUGCGAGCGUUAAUCGGAUUUACUGGGCGUAAAGCGUGCGUAGGCGGCUUUUUAAGUCGGAUGUGAAAUCCCUGAGCUUAACUUAGGAAUUGCAUUCGAUACUGGGAAGCUAGAGUAUGGGAGAGGAUGGUAGAAUUCCAGGUGUAGCGGUGAAAUGCGUAGAGAUCUGGAGGAAUACCGAUGGCGAAGGCAGCCAUCUGGCCUAAUACUGACGCUGAGGUACGAAAGCAUGGGGAGCAAACAGGAUUAGAUACCCCAGUAGUCCCUGUCUCUUAUAC